rfam:Cricetulus griseus cell line CHO-K1, whole genome shotgun sequence.
GUCUGUGGGGGCCAUACCUAUUCAAAACCACCCUAGGUAUACUGUUCCGCUCUCACAGAUCCAUCUGCAUCUCUCCUGAAUCUGUAAAUGCAAUCAAGAAGAUGACCUUCCCCAAAAGAGGAGGACCAGGCUUCAGUCAAGGGUAUAUAAUUAGCUGCAUUCCCUUCUGAGAACCUCAAAAAAUAUUCAAGAAUACACGUGAAAUGUGCUUAAAAACUGCAAUACAUAUUUAUCCUACAUAAGGUCCAGUAUCUGUUGAU